rnacentral:rRNA from 1 species
GAUGAACGCUGGCGGCGUGCCUAAUACAUGCAAGUCGAGCGAACAGAUGAGGAGCUUGCGCCUCUGACGUUAGCGGCGGGGGGGUGAGUAACACGUGGAUAACCUACCUAUAAGACGGGGAUAACUGCGGGAAACCGGAGCUAAUACCGGAGAAUAUAUUGAACCGCAUGGUGCAAUGGUGAAAGACGGUUUUGGUGUCACUUAUAGAUGGAUCCGGGCCGCAUUAGGUAGUUGGUAAGGUAAAGGCUUACCAAGGCAACCAUGCGUAGCCGACCUGAGAGACUGGUCGGCGACCCGGGAGCGGGGACACCGUCCAGGGUCCUACGAGACGCCGCAGUCGCGAACGUUACGCAGUAGGCGAGAGCCUGACACAGCGGCGGCGAGUCUGAGACGGCGGCGUUCCGUGCGUGAUGCCCUGUUACUAGGGGUAAACAACUGUGUCCGGAGCCAUGCCCGGAUUGACGGUACCUAGUAAGAAAGCCCCGGCUAACUACGUG